rnacentral:lncRNA from 13 species
ACAUCGCUGAGAAUGCGUUCAGUGGGAAAAAGAUUAUGCCUCUGUGACACUAUGAAAUAUAUAUAUUUUGGGCUUCAUCUGUUUCCUGACACAUGGCUCAUAAAAUACUUGGAAUCUCCAAAUGAUGAGUCUUUUGUAUGUCAGUGAAAUGACUGCUGGUUCAGGGGCCCUGAAUAGCUUCAGGAUGGGGCUGGUUCCCAGGGGAACCCACCAUGUUGUCAGAGGGUUGGAUCUUUCAGCUUCAACAGGACCUCCUAGGAGGAGAGAGGGGCUGAAGAUUGAGUGACCAUCAAUGGCCAAUGAUGUCAUCAAUCACGCCUACAUAAUAAAGCCUCCAUGGAACCCCAAAAGAACAGAGUUUGGGGCAUUUCUGGCCAGCUGAACAUGUGGAGAUUCCUGGAGGAUGGUGUUCCCGGAGAUGGUGGUCUCUGGAGGUAUGGUGACAAAGAGCUUGGUGACUUUGCUCUGUUGGGACAGCACGUGCUCAGGCUUGUGAGGAGGCCUGCUCAUGGCCCAUGGGCUGCAGGUAACAUGGGAGCAGCCCAGACUCCAGGCCAGCCCCUAGGCUCUCUCCAUCGGAUUGUUCUCUGUUCCCUACAGCAGGACCAAGACCAGCCUGAGUUGAGGGAGGCACUGAUGCUCAGAAUUCAGAGGGCCCCUCACUUGGGUGAUGCUGGGUGCCAGUCCCUGCUUAAAUUUUGCAACCUCGCACUGUUCACAACAGCCAUGAUCUGGAAGCAACCAAGUGCCCAUCAGCAGAUGAACGGAUAAAGAAAAUGUGGCACAUACACACAAUGGAGUAUAAUUCAGUCAUUAAAAAAUGGGAUUCUGUCAUUUGUAACAAUAUGGAUGGAACUGGAGGUCAGUCAUGUUAAGUGAAAUAAGCCAGGCACAGAAAGACAGACAUUACAUGUUCUCACUUACUUGUGGGAUCUAAAGAUCAAAUCAGUUGAACUCAUGGAGAUAGAGAGUAGAAGGUUGGUGACCAGAGGCUGGGAAGGGGCGUGGGGUUGGGGAGAAGGUGGGAAUGGUUAAUGGGUACAAAAAAAUAUUAAGAAUAAAUAAGACCUGGUAUUUGAUAGCA